AAGUUCAUUGUCAUGUGUGUUUCCGGGUUGGCUGCUGCUCACUGUUGGUUGUCGCGUCCGUUGUUGAUAAAACAACUUGAAGUUAUAAAUCGACUCAUCACUCAUUUAAUCUAAACUCAACUUUGAAGAUUUCUGCUGGAACACCUUCCUGAAUUGAACAAGUUACCAUUGCAUCCACCUCCUCAGACAAUCCGUUACUCGACGGUCAGGUUUUUUUUUUCUUCCGGACUCCUGCACGGAUACACUGGAUGACGGAAGAUGGCGAGCUACCCACCCACCAUCUGGUGGUAGGAAACAGAACUACACUUUCCAUAUAGGAACUGAACAGACUCUGAGUAUCAAAAAAAGGGAAAAUAACUAUUCUCCCUUCAUCUUUGGACCUCUUGUGGACUCUAUUAGGUUUUGAAGUGUCACUGACAUAAGUGUUUUGUUUGUUUUCUCUUUUCCUGUUUUUUUGAGAACUUUAUUUAUUUAUUUUUGUUGUUUUGGUAUUAUCAUUAUCAU